GAGUUUGAUCCUGGCUCAGGAUGAACGCUGGCGGCGUGCUUAACACAUGCAAGUCGAACGAAGCACUCUUUUAGAUUUCCUUCGGGGAAGAAGAAAUUGUGACUGAGUGGCGGACGGGUGAGUAACGCGUGGGCAACCUGCCCCAUACAGGGGGAUAACAGCCGGAAACGGCUGCUAAAACCGCAUAAGCGCACAAGGGCCGCAUGGCCUGGUGUGAAAAACUCCGGUGGUAUGGGAUGGGCCCGCGUCUGAUUAGCUAGUUGGCGGGGGAGAGGCCCACCAAGGCGACGAUCAGUAGCCGACCUGAGAGGGUGGCCGGCCACAUUGGGACUGAGACACGGCCCAAACUCCUACGGGAGGCAGCAGUGGGGAAUAUUGCACAAUGGGGGAAACCCUGAUGCAGCGACGCCGCGUGAGCGAAGAAGUAUUUCGGUAUGUAAAGCUCUAUCAGCAGGGAAGAAAAAUGACGGUACCUGAGUAAGAAGCACCGGCUAAAUACGUGCCAGCAGCCGCGGUAAUACGUAUGGUGCAAGCGUUAUCCGGAUUUACUGGGUGUAAAGGGAGCGCAGGCGGUGCGGCAAGUCUGAUGUGAAAGCCCGGGGCUCAACCCCGGGACUGCAUUGGAAACUACCGAACUAGAGUGUC
rnacentral:rRNA from 1 species